CUCGAAGAAAAAUGCGAAGCAGCGGAAUGCGCAAGCCUCUAGUCUCUUGCUUCUUGUUCACGUUACCUCUGAUCGCAGUGGCCGUUUAUCUUGCUCCACGUUUGUGGUGUAUGAAUUAACGUGUUUGAUAAAAAAUAGAUCGAAUCUACCUUCCGAAAUUUAUUGUUUCAAAGACUAAACAUGGCAGCUCCGCUGGCAGAGUGCACCAAGGUUUGAAAAUGUUGUUAUGUAGAAGCAACGAAACGCGUCGCAAAUAAAAUGUGGUGUCUCUUAGCCUAUAUACGCUCUUCUUACCCUACUGAGAUUAAAAGUAAGUUGCUCUACAAUCUCUACAAGAAAGCGCAUCCAGGAAGCAACAGAGUUGGUAUU